rnacentral:sRNA from 1 species
GAAAGUGACUACAUCGGGG